rnacentral:lncRNA from 1 species
CCUUGGCCUGGCCCAUGCAGCCCAGCCUGGGAAGGGUUAAGUUUCGGCCUCCCCCAGCGACAGGCUGGCCUGAUCUUCCGAAUCCUCUUUUAAUUAUUUUGUUCUGGCGAAGGCAGAUGCCUCUCGCCUGCUCUGCCGACUGGUGUGUGUGGCCGGGCCCCUGUGGACACCUGCCCGGGAAGACAAUCAAGGCAGCCCUGUGUCCCACCCAGAUGUGGGUGACCACGCCAGCCGGCGGUGCUGGACUCUGCCAGGUCUCCCUCAUAAAUGCCAUGGAAGUAGUCGGAGCUGGUGGGGAGCAUAGACGACAAACUGAGUGGGAGGAGGCCUGGGGAGCAGCCCCGUUUGAUGGACCCAGAAACUGAGGCCCAGGGGGAGUGAGGCUCACCCAUCACCCCUCUCGGCCAGUGAGUGCCGGGGUCCAGUGUAAACCAGGGAGCUCAGCCCGGGUCUCACCACAGGAGUAACACCUGUCACUCCUGAGUCACUCCUGAGUCAGCCCCCGCUCCUCUCCAGCCAUCCCUGCAGGGUAGAGAGUGGACUCCUGGCAGCCCCAGCCGCCCCCACGCCUCCCUCCUGAGCUCACCUGCCUUGGUUCCCGCCGUCUCCCCCAACUCACUCCCGGAUUCUCCCAGGUCAAAGACGGCCUCCUCUGCACUCCUACUGUGCCGGGAACAGUCGUCACCCCCAGGCGGUGGGCCCCUGCCCAGGGGGUCUUACUUGCACACGAAUGUGGGGGGCAUUUGGUCCCAUGGAGCAGCCGGGUCCCAGCACGCCCAGGAAGGCAGCGUUUGGCUCUGUGGGUUGAACGCCCGCCCCCUGUCUGGAGAGCACCUGGUGGAGAGGGGUGUCCGGACACACACGUCUCCCAUAGCCCCCACACAGACGGCGUGGCUCGGCUCUGGAUGUGUCCAUGGAACAUAGUCAGGGCCGUGGAACAGGUCUCCCAGAGCUAGAGGUUUUCCCGGCAGCUCCAAGCGAGGCUUCCUGAGAGUUCGAGGCGGUGCAGAGAGACCACCCUGGGGAACCGGCCAUCUCCAGAAACCGGGGAACCAUCCGUGGUGUGGGCCCAGCAAGGCCCCCUUCCCAGCGUGGCUGACUUCGCCUCUGAAUUAAUCUGGAUUUUUAAGUGCAAUUAAAGAGGAUGCCCCAGUCAUGAAGAGAGGCGGAGACAGACCACAGGCCCGUGGGGCAACCGGAAAACCCCUCCUCACUAAGAAUGAACUCCAAGGGGCUUCCCCGUCCCCCGCUGAGGUGGACUUCCGGCCUGGCAUCAGGAGCAGCCCACCUGCCUUCCCGGCCCUGGCCCGCCAGGCUGUGUCCCCCUGAGCCGACUGGGCCAUUCGCACCUCCAGGCGCUGGUUCCUGCCAUGCCUCUGCAAGACGUACCAUCUCCAAAACCGCUGUUCACAGCGGAUCAGCCCGGCGCAGCCUGCCCAUCCACCGUGCCCCUAUCCAGAAGCAAGACACAGCCUGGGCUGGGCCGUGAGGGUCCGUGACCUCCCACACCACACCGUGGCCCUCACUGCACUCUCAGUGCUGGGCUCCUACAGGUGAGCCUCCCCCAGGAUGAGUGUGGUGUCCCAGAGCCAUCUGAGCCCCCUCUUGUGGGUCAGGCCUGCCUUCUCAGGGUUCAGCUCAGUCCUGCUGAUGACAGCUGUGACUCAGGCCCGACAGCCCUUCAGGAACUCUCAUUAUCUUCCCCAGUUUACAGCUGGGGAAACUGAGGCUCGGAGUGAGCCAGCCCCUCCCCGUCCUGUCUCCCUUCCCUGCUGGGUCCACCCACUCAGGGCUUUCUAAGAGGGUGGAUUUUAAUUAAGCCAGUUUGUAAUUACCCACCUGCAUUUUACUUAAUAAACUCGGGGGAGUUUUCA